GGAGAGGUACCCAAGUGGCUGAAGGGGCGGGUUUGCUAAACCUGUAGGGCUCUAAAAUCUGGAGCCGCGAGGGUUCGAAUCCCUCCCUCUCCGCCA
rnacentral:tRNA from 1 species